rnacentral:snRNA from 1 species
GUGCUCACUUUGGCAGCACCUGCACUAAAAUUGAAACGACGCAGAGAAGAUUAGAUGACCCUUGUGCAAAGAUGACAUGCAAAUUUGUGAAGAGUUUCAUAUUUUU